ensembl:lncRNA
GGCAGUGAGGCAGGGGUAACAUUGUGUUGGUACUGAAGGCAGGCUGAGUGGAGGCAGUGAGGCAGAGGCAACAUUGUGUUGGUACUGAAGGCAGGCUGAGUAGAGGCAGUGAGGCAGAGGCAACAUUGUGUUGGUACUGAAGGCAGGCUGAGUGGAGGCAGUGAGGCAGAGGCAACAUUGUGUUGGUACUGAAGACAGGCUGAGUGGAGGCAGUGAGGCAGAGACAACAUUGUGUUGGUACUGAAGACAGGCUGAGUGGAAGCAGUGAGGCAGAGGCAAUCUUGCGUGAGCUGUCUCAUCAAGGCUGCAGGGACCCUGGACAUACAGGCAUAUACACCAAUGUAUGAACACAUACACACACACACACACACACACACACACACACACACACACACACACACACACACACACACACACACACACACACACACACACACACACACACACACACACACACACACACACACACACACACACACACACACACACACACACACACACACACACACACACACUCACACACACACACACACACACAUACACACACACACACACACACACACACACACACACACACACACACACACACA